AGGAUUAAAGGGAGAUUAAUUUCUCAUCUCACCAGGCUGGAGUAGGUCACCUGCAGGGGAUUCAUAGGCGCUCCAUGCCUUUAGGGAGCAGGGAGGCCAGUUUCAGUGGAGAAGGAGUGAAGCUUGUCCUGGGGUUAAUGUGGUGGGGCAAGAUAGGCUGUGGGUUCCCAGGCCCCUGAUAGCCAGGAGGGAAGCACUGAGCUUUCAGCAAGCUGGAGCCACAGCAACCUUGGCCCCUCUAUGUAGCUUUUCAAUCCUGCAAAGGGUUGGCCACUUACACCCUCAGUUUACAGGUGAGGAAACUGAGGCUCAAGGAGGCUAAUAGCUUGCCCCAAGUUUCACGGCAGCAGUCCUGUCAGAGUCCAGAAGAUGUGCUCACUCCACUCCUCACAUGGUCUUCCAGGGCCUCACGGAGCGUGCCCUCGGCCAAGGAGACACCAGAGGAAUGGAUCGGGAACUGGUGGAGUUGAGAAUAAUGUCGCUUCCUGCAGGGAGGCUUCCUGGUUUGCCCAGCCCGGGUCAGGCCUUAGGGAUACACUGUCCUUGCACUGUGUGCUUUUCUUUCAUGACAUGAAAUACAGGCCUCAUUAAAUGUUGGUGGGAUUAUUCA